rnacentral:rRNA from 1 species
UACGUAGGAGGCAAGCGUUGUCCGGAAUUACUGGGCGUAAAGCGCGUGUAGGCGGGAGGCCAAGUCUGCUGUGAAAUCGCCCGGCUCAACUGGGCGGGGUCGGUGGAAACUGGUCACCUGGAGGACGGUAGAGGCGAGUGGAAUUCCCGGUGUAGUGGUGAAAUGCGUAGAGAUCGGGAGGAACACCAGUGGCGAAGGCGGCUCGCUGGGCCGGCCCUGACGCUGAGACGCGAAGGCGUGGGGAGCGAACGGG